CUCCAAGCCCUCCUCAGUCCUCAUUCCCUCCUAACUGACGCAACCUCCUAGAUUGGUGCGGCAGAGACGAGGGGCGACGACCCGAUGACUGUGCGAGCGCCGUCGCAUCAGGUCAUUGGCGCGCCAUCUGCCCAGGUCUUCGUCGGGCCCUUCUCCAUCGACAGGCACCCACCAGAUUGGAGAUGGCUUAGCGCAAUUCGUGUUCUCACAUUAAAAACUGAGCAGUUCUACAAAACUAUGAUAGCAGGAUGUGCUCAGGCACUGGACCUGGACAAUUAGAUUGUAUUUAGACUGUGGAUUGUGUAACCAUGGCGGUGGAAAAUUGGAUGAUAAAGCUUGAAUGUGAUGGGGCAGCAGAAGGAGAGAAACAUGUGCAGAUAGAAAUGGAUAGAGAUGAGAUAUGCUACUACAGCUUAUUGAUUUGAUCGAACAUCAUGGGUACAGUGCUGUCGACUAUCUAUUCUACAAGAAAAAAGAUAGCUUGGUUUUACUAGAACAAGAUGCUGAAGUGAUGGACAUGCUUAAUGAGUGUGAGAGCAAAAAGAUGGUUAGCUUGUUUGUGACAAAGCAGAGACUAGCCACUUUAGUCCCUACCAAGUCCAACAAAAAACCAUCCAAAUCUAAACCGAAUAAAA